AAUGAACGCUGGCGGCGUGCUUAACACAUGCAAGUCGUACGAGAACGCUUCAGCUUGCUGAAGCUAGUAGAGUGGCGUACGGGUGAGUAACGCGUGGGUAAUCUACCUUUGAAUCGGGGAUAACCCCGCGAAAGCGGGGCUAAUACCGGAUAACAUUUAAAGGUUUCUGGACUUUUAAAUCAAAGAGGGCCUCUACAUGUAAGCUCUUGUUUGAAGAUGAGCCUGCGUACCAUUAGCUUGUUGGUAAGGUAACGGCCUACCAAGGCUACGAUGGUUAGCUGGUCUGAGAGGAUGAUCAGCCACACUGGAACUGACACACGGUCCAGACUCCUACGGGAGGCAG
rnacentral:rRNA from 1 species